GUGGAGAACAAAUAAUACUAACGAAAGAUAAGCCAUCCCUUAACAAUAAAAAAGUGAACACCGAAUUUACCACUUUCCCAGAUGGGUUUCAUCAUUUUAAUUUUCUUCUGGAAGGAAGAUAUCGAAUAGACAGAUAUUAAAGUUUGAAUAUUUAUGGGAGUUGGGGCAGGGAUGGAGCUAAUUUUGAAAAUGACAGUUUAUUCAAGAAGCAAUACCUUCCAGUUUGUGAAAAUUACUCUGUAAUUUAUUAAAGACAGUGACAGUGUUUGGCAGUUAGGGUGAAGAGUUUUUCCAAUAUAUAACAUGGUGGUAGCGAGCAUGGUUUCUCUGAAGAGCACCUACUGCAGAGUUAGGCUUAACUCCACCCAACAGCCAAGUCUGAAACAACUGGCGGUACCAUGAGGGCUUUCAUUUUCUUUCUCUUCAUGCUCCUGGCCAUGUUCUCAGACUGGCAGUGCCAGCAGCGAAAACUCAAUCAGAAAAACAAAAUGUCAAUCUGUCUACAAACCAGUCUGUGGUUCUAAUGGAAAAACCUAUGGUAACCACUGCAUACUUAAAGAAGCAAAGUGGUUGAGUAAUGGAAAACUGAGUCUGAAUCAUGAGGGAGAAUGCUCACCAUUUAUGUGAACCAAAUCACUUGGAAGUCAAAAUUCACUGGCAAGUCCCCUUAAACAACGAUUUCCCUGGGAGUUCCAUUGUGAGAUCAGCUUGAAUCUUACAGAUCUGAUGAAUCCUGCAUACUUUUCAAGUUUGUUCCACAUCAAAUAAAGUCAGUUCCAGAGUAAUUUCUGAUUUCUUGGAUUUUUU
rnacentral:lncRNA from 1 species